GAGUGUGAGUGAGACACACAAGUGGACAGUCCCUCAUGGGCUGAAACUAGGGUGGACAUGCACUGUCCCCCUUGUUGCCCCAUAGAGCUUGCCUAGAAAAGGUUUAAUCAUGGCCAAGUCCAAGAAUCACACCACUCACAACCAAUCUCGCAAAUGGCACAGAAAUGGUAUCAAGAAACCCAGAUCCCAGAGAUAUGAGUCUCUGAAGGGGGUUGAUCCCAAGUU